GAUGAAGAACGCAGCGAAAUGCGAUAAGUAAUGUGAAUUGCAGAAUUCAGUGAAUCAUCGAAUCUUUGAACGCACAUUGCGCCCCUUGGUAUUCCGAGGGGCAUGCCUGUUCGAGCGUCAUAUUAACCACUCCCGCUUGCGGGGUCUUGGGCUUCGCCUCCGGGCGGGCCUUAAAAUCAGUGGCGGUGCCGUCGGGCUCUACGCGUAGUAAAUUUUCUCGCGAUAGGGUCCCGGUGGAUGCUUGCCAACAACCCCCAACUUCUUAAGGUUGACCUCGGAUCAGGUAGGGAUACCCGCUGAACUUAAGCAUAUCAAUAAGUGGAGGA
rnacentral:misc_RNA from 1 species